rnacentral:misc_RNA from 1 species
UACGGAGGGGGCUAGCGUUGUUCGGAAUUACUGGGCGUAAAGCGCGCGUAGGCGGAUUGGAAAGUUGGGGGUGAAAUACCGGGGCUCAACUCCGGAACUGCCUUCAGAACUACCAGUCUAGAGGUCGAGUGAGAUGAGUGGAAUUCCGAGUGUAGAGGUGAAAUUCGUAGAUAUUCGGAGGAACACCAGUGGCGAAGGCGGCUCACUGGCUCGAUACUGACGCUGAGGGGCGAAAGCGUGGGGAGCAAACAGG